UACGGAGGGAGCAAGCGUUACUCGGAAUUACUGGGCGUAAAGGGCGCGUAGGCGAUUUUGUAAGUCUUGUGUGAAAGCCCAAAGCCUAACUUUGGAAGUGCACAAGAUACUGCGAGAAUUGAGUUCCGGAGAGGAAGAUGGAAUUCCUGGUGUAGCGGUGGAAUGCGCAGAUAUCAGGAGGAACACCGGUGGCGAAGGCGGGUCUCUGGGCAGUAACUGACGCUGAGGAGCGAAAGCGUGGGGAGCGAACAGG
rnacentral:rRNA from 1 species